UAAGGAAUAUUGGUCAAUGGACGAAAGUCUGAACCAGCCAUGCCGCGUGGAGGAUGAAGGUCCUCUGGAUUGUAAACUUCUUUUAUCUGGGACGAAAAAAGGUCUUUCUAGAUCGUCUGACGGUACCAGAUGAAUAAGCACCGGCUAACUCCGUGCC
rnacentral:rRNA from 1 species